GACGAACGCUGGCGGCGUGCUUAACACAUGCAAGUCGAACGGAAAGGCCCUGCUUUUGUGGUGUGCUCGAGUGGCGAACGGGUGAGUAACACGUGAGUAACCUGCCCUUGACUUUGGGAUAACUUCAGGAAACUGGGGCUAAUACCGGAUAGGAGCUCCUGCUGCAUGGUGGGGGUUGGAAAGUUUCGGCGGUUGGGGAUGGACUCGCGGCUUAUCAGCUUGUUGGUGGGGUAGUGGCUUACCCAGGCUUUGACGGGUAGCCGGCCUGAGAGGGUGACCGGCCACAAUGGGACUGAGGUACGGACCAGACUCCUACGGGAGGCAGCAGUGGGGAAUAUUGCACAAUGGGCGGAAGCCUGAUGCAGCGGCGCCGCGUGCGGGAUGACGGCCUGCUGGUUAUAAACCGCUUUCGCCUGAGACGAAGCGUGAGUGACGGUAAUGAGUGAAGAAGCACCGGCUAACUACGUG
rnacentral:rRNA from 1 species